rnacentral:rRNA from 1 species
UACAGAGGUCUCAAGCGUUGUUCGGAUUCAUUGGGCGUAAAGGGUGCGUAGGCGGCGCGGUAAGUCGGGUGUGAAAUCUUGGAGCUUAACUCCGAAACUGCAUUCGAUACUGCCGUGCUUGAGGACUGGAGAGGAGACUGGAAUUUACGGUGUAGCAGUGAAAUGCGUAGAGAUCGUAAGGAAGGCCAGUGGCGAAGGCGAGUUCCUGGACAGUUACUGACGCUGAGGCACGAAGGCCAGGGGAGCAAACGGG